UACAGAGACUGCGAGCGUUAUUCGGAUUCACUGGGCGUAAAGGGCGCGUAGGCGGCCAGCACAAGUCAGUUGUGAAAUCUCCGAGCUUAACUCGGAAAGGUCAACUGAUACUGUGCGGCUAGAGUGCAGAAGGGGCAACUGGAAUUCUUGGUGUAGCGGUGAAAUGCGUAGAUAUCAAGAGGAACACCGGUGGUGUAGACGGCUUUCUGGACCGUAACUGACGCUGAGACACGAAAGCGUGGGUAGCAAACAGG
rnacentral:rRNA from 1 species